rnacentral:hammerhead_ribozyme from 1 species
AUCCAGCUGACGAGUAGCAAAUAGGACGAAACGCACGUCAAACUGGAU